rnacentral:lncRNA from 1 species
UUAUUGAUAUUUUUGUAAUUUGUUUUUUUCUGGUUUUCAGAGACUCAGGAGACAUUUAGUCAGAGGGAAGAGGACGAGACCACAUCGCCAGAUGUGAGCCAUAGCGAUGCAAGAUCAUGGCAGCGCCCAAUGACACCUCCACAAGCCUGUCACCAACAAUCACCAAAAAGGAAAAGGGGUCGCCAGCCUUCCAAGAAAAGGAUGUGGGAGAAAGAGGAGGUGUUUGCUGUCGAGAAGCACAUGAUGUCCUUCAUUACUUCGUGCCGCGUCCCGGGGAAAAGCGUCUGUGAUAAGUGCCUUCUGCAGGAAAAAGUAGCACUCAAAAACAGAAAUUGGUUGGCCAUAAAGUUCUACAUUAAGAAUCGAAUCACAGCUCUCAAGAACAAAGUUUAAAGUGAUCAUUUAAU